rnacentral:lncRNA from 1 species
CGCCCUUCCCCAUUUCCCCCACACCCUUGGCCGCAGCCCCCCCUCCCAUUUCCUCCUCCCUCAAACCAUUGCAGCCACACCACCCUAAACCCUAGCCGCCCCCCCCUCUCUCCAAGGUGAAGCCCUCCCACCUGGUUCUCCGUCGUGUGGCGAUCUCAAUUGGAGUUUGGAGGGAUAAAGAAGGAAGGAGAAAGGUAAGAAUCCAAGGUGAUUUUUGUGUUUAUCUCUUGUUCAUUUGUGCUGCAAUCCAAUUGAUUAGAUGUUGCGUAUGCGAUUUGGUAGAAGGGCUGUCCAGAAUUUUAGGGGGUGGACGAACAGCAGCAGUAUUAGUGGUUUCUGGGCAUUUUCGUGGGAAAUUAAUGGGAAUCAGUUUAGGAAUCAUGUAGAACUUUGACAUACCUUUCCAACAAGUAUUUAUGCGCUCAAUUUGGAGUUAUAAAUUAAAAGAUAUCACCGUUUGAAUCCGGGUAUGUGGCUGUCAAAAAAAUAGAUUUUCAGGUGGACGAACAGAAGCAGUAUUAGUGGUUUCUGGGCAUUUUUCGUGGGAAAUUAAUGGGAAUCAGUUUGAGAAUCAUGUAAAACUUUGGUAUACCUUUCCAACGAGUAUUUAUGCGCUCAAUUUGGAGUUAUAAAUUAAAAGAUAUCACCGUUUGAAUCCGGGUAUGUGGCUGUCCAAAAAAACAGAUUUUCAGGUGGACGAACAGCAGCAGUAUUAGCAGUUUCUGGGGAUUUUCCGUUAGUAAUUAGUGUUAAUCAGUAUGAUAAUCAUGUAGGGCUUUUUCUUACAUUUCCAACAAGUACUUAUGCGCUCAAUUCGGAAUUAUAUUUUAAAAGUUAUCGCUGUUUGAAUCCGAGUAUGUUGCUGCCCAAAAGAGAAAAAAAAACAGAUUGCAGGGUUUAUCUUGUGGACCGUUUUGGGGUAGUUAGAUGUUGGAAUUUAAUCAUAAAUUGUAUACAAAACUUAUGGGGAAUUUUAUGUAGUUGUCUCUGGAGUUUUUGUUUGUCAUCACUGCUGGCUUAAUUUUAAAGUUAUGGAAUUGUUAAGCAGCGCCGCUGCAGUUUGGUGAGUGUGGGGAGAAUUGUUACCGGCGGCGGGGUUUGAGACUGCGCGUAGGUGCGGCGUUGUUUUUGAGGCUUAUUAUGUGAAUUUGGUGCACUAAGUUGGGUGUCAAAAACAGGUGAUGGACUUCCGGAUCGUACUUAGGGAUUUUCCCAAACUUCCGGUAAAGGCAAGUAAAACAGUGAUGGUUAUUCCGUCUGUCGAAUGAAGAGUCUUAUACUUGAUUAUGUUGUGCUAUUGUGUUCGUAUUCAUAUUUUUAAUUGAGUACCAUCAUUUGAAGAUAUUCGUGUUUUAUUGAUUACAUAUGUUGAGUUUGUGGUUUGAUCAUGUUACUCAAGUGGUUAUUAUGUGGAAUGAGUGGAAAUAUAUGUCUAGCACAUUUUAUUUGGGAAGAACUCAUGUUGUUGUCAUGCAUAAUGCAUUCAUUAUUCAUUGCAUGGAAGUUCGUCAUGAUCUUAUUGUCCGACCGUACCGGUAUAUUGAGCAUCAUAUGUUGCCCGAGAAGGGGUAUGAUGCAGCUUCAUAUCCUCAGAGAUAUGAAGGCAGAAGUCAUUACUGCAUUUGUAGUCAUGUGCAUUCAUGGAGAGGUGUGAAAUUUAUUAUGUGGAUGUGGAUAGUGUGGAUUUUUACAUUGUGAUUCUUCUUGGCGUUAAGUAAUUAGUUACUUGCUUACUUGCUGCAAAUUAUUAUUCAAGAAGGAAGUUUUGAACUACGUGGUUGUUUAAGCACAAUUGGUUUACAUUGUCCAAUUGUGGUUUGCUCUGUUUACUUGCUGAGAUGUGUCAUCUCACUCUUGCAUUGUUUAAUGCAGGCACCUGAUUUCUGCUUUGGGAAAAGAGGGAUGUAGCAGCACGGCCACUACACCUUUAAUAAAGGAACCACUGCUUAAUAAUGUUG